UACGAGGGGGGCGAGCGUUGUUCGGAAUUAUUGGGCGUAAAGGGUGCGUAGGCGGUUCCGCAAGUCCUGUGUGAAAUCUUCGGGCUCAACUCGAAGUCUGCACGGGAAACUGCGGGGCUUGAGUGUGGGAGAGGUGAGUGGAAUUCCCGGUGUAGCGGUGAAGUGCGUAGAUAUCGGGAGGAACACCUGUGGCGAAAGCGGCUCACUGGACCAUAACUGACGCUGAUGCACGAAAGCUGGGGGAGCAAACAGG
rnacentral:rRNA from 1 species